rnacentral:rRNA from 1 species
GACGAACCGUGCAAACGUUAUUCGGAAUCACUGGGCUUAAAGGGCGCGUAGGCGGGCUCGUAAGUCUGUGGUGAAAGCCCCCAGCUUAACUGGGGAAGUGCCAUGGAUACUGCGAGUCUUGAGGAGGGUAGGGGCAUCUGGAACACUGGGUGGAGCGGUGAAAUGCGUUGAUAUCCAGUGGAACUCCGGUGGCGAAGGCGAGGUGCUGGACCCUUUCUGACGCUGAUGCGCGAAAGCCAGGGGAGCAAACGGG